AAAAUAGUAUCCCGUAGACUCCUUGGGAUAACCAAUAAAUCUUCCUUUAUCCAACCUAGUAACCAAUAAAUCUUCCUUUAUUCGACCUAGCCUCCAAUUUAUCUGUUUUAAGUUUUUUUAACAAAAGCCGGGCAUCCCCAAAUCCUUAAAUGAUUGAGACUCGAUUUUUUGCCAAACCACAUCUCAUGCGGAGUACAAGGAAUAGAUUUU
rnacentral:lncRNA from 1 species